CGUGGCAGCCAAGUGGUAAGGUCUCAGGUUUGGGACCGGAGGGUUCCAGGUUCGAAACCCGAUUCCACUG